rnacentral:antisense_RNA from 1 species
CUUCACCGAGCCGAGCCAGAGCGGCCGGUCGCCGGCACGGUCCCGGCCGUAGGUGGCGAACAGCGCGUCGACCUC